rnacentral:rRNA from 1 species
CCAAACUCUCGUGAAUCCCUAGAAAAAACUCUCUGGCACCCCCACCCCUUCUCCGCCGCCACCACCCACGCCGACCGGUUCUGGCGAGCUCCGGCCGGAAGCGGAGCAUUCACCGGAACCAGAAUCAUGUGCGUUCGCCGCACCGGUAGGGGUGGGAGGUGGCCCUCUCUCCCUCGCCCUCUCCGCUUCCAGCUCGGCCUCCUUCCUCCUCUGCGCCGGCGGCGACUCCCUGCAGCGUGGGAGGCUCAGGUUUAGUCUUUCGCCCCGCCCCGGUGCUGCGCUGCUGCUCCCCUCCCGCCCCGCCGACGCCGAUGGACCGAGAAGAAGUGACGAAGUUCCUGGGCCAGGUGCCCCUCCUGCAGUGCCUCCCCGGCUCUUCCAUACGUAGGAUUGCCGAGGCCGUCCAUGUCAAGCACUACGGCGAGUCGCGCCGUCACCCGUCCGAGUGCUGUAGUCGGCCCGCCGUGUUUGCCUACUUCAGGCGAGCGCAGCCUAAAUCUGGCUUGCGUCAGCUCAGAGUACUCUCUACUGUUAGCUUACUGAAUUACUGAGGAUGCUCUCUGUGUCAGUCAUGAUUUAUAGUUCACUGUACUUCAUAUCGCGCACAUGAUUCUGUGUGCAGCUCACUGACCACGACCGAUUUACUAAUCUGUAGUCUGUAUUGGCGCUGCACUGCAGUGCGUACUCAUUAACUAGAUGAUGUUUAGCCCUUGACUCUUCGGUGUGUGCGCUUAUCUGGAAUGGUGGUGAUUUUGUAUUCACUGAUUGUGUGGUCUGGGAUCAAAGUUGAUUUUUGCAUUUUUUUUCAUGCUGGCAUUUUGCAGAACCUGGGGAUUAUAUUGCUCGUGAAGGUGAACCCGUAGAUGGCCUUUGCAUCAUAUUGGAUGGCACAAGGGUUCCAUGGUACAACAGCAGAAAGAAGACCAUGAUUCAAUCAAGUGCAUGCUCCAUCAACACAAGGGGUGAUCGUCGCUGACUAGCACGGCCAGUGGGCGCUGUGCUCUUCAACCACUUGAAGGCAGACUUCUCCGUGAAGCCCGGUGGCCAUGUCGCACGGAUUAUCGUCUAGGUGAUUUCGACGCCGGAAGUCACUGAGGUGGAGGACCUCGAUGCCACCGUCCGAGGGAGGGAGGAUUUGUGUCCACCAGCGUCUGAACUCCGAUCCUUGGUAGAUACAUCUAGAGAAGUGGUCUGUUUAGGGUUGGUGGUAGACCACUAGAGAAGGUACCCACCUUACGAUGAUGGUUGUGUGUGUCUGAUGUUAAAUGGAAUCUUGAGAUGGUUCUGUGACGUUGGUUUGGUUUGCACUGGGCGUAUUACCAUUUAUGAGUACUACAUCAAAUUUUUAUUUUUUU